rnacentral:rRNA from 1 species
UGGCUCAGGAUUAACGCUGGCGGCAUGCCUAAUACAUGCAAGUCGAACGGAGUAGCAAUACUUAGUGGCGAACGGGUGAGUAACACGUAUCUAAUCUACCAUUUAGUGGGGAAUAACUGUUGGAAACGACAGCUAGUACCGCAUAAUAUUGCUGGAUAAUUUCCAGUAAUGAAAGGAGCUUUCAAGCUCCGCUGAUUGAUGAGGAUGCGGCGCAUUAGCUAGUUGGUAGGGUAAUGGCCUACCAAGGCAAUGAUGCGUAGCCGAUCUGAGAGGAUGAACGGCCACAUUGGGACUGAGACACGGCCCAAACUUCUACGGAAGGCAGCAGUAGGGAAUUUUUCACAAUGGGCGAAAGCCUGAUGGAGCAAUGCCGCGUGACUGAUGAAGGUCUUCGGAUUGUAAAGGUCUGUUGUAAGGGAAGAAAUGGUAAAACAGGAAAUGGUUUUAUCUAUGACGGUACCUUACCAGAAAGCCACGGCUAACUAUGUGCCAGCAGCCGCGGUAAUACAUAGGUGGCAAGCGUUAUCCGGAUUUAUUGGGCGUAAAGGGUGCGUAGACGGUUUUGCAAGUCUGAGGUUAAAUUUAGGAGCUCAACUCCUAAUCGCCUUGGAAACUACAAGACUAGAGUAUAGGAGAGGUUAGUGGAAUUCCAUGUGUAGCGGUGGAAUGUGUAGAUAUAUGGAGGAACACCAGUGGC